AGAGUUUGAUCAUGGCUCAGAUUGAACGCUGGCGGCAGGCCUAACACAUGCAAGUCGAGCGGUAGCACAGAGAGCUUGCUCUCGGGUGACGAGCGGCGGACGGGUGAGUAAUGUCUGGGAAACUGCCUGAUGGAGGGGGAUAACUACUGGAAACGGUAGCUAAUACCGCAUAAUGUCGCAAGACCAAAGUGGGGGACCUUCGGGCCUCAUGCCAUCAGAUGUGCCCAGAUGGGAUUAGCUAGUAGGUGGGGUAACGGCUCACCUAGGCGACGAUCCCUAGCUGGUCUGAGAGGAUGACCAGCCACACUGGAACUGAGACACGGUCCAGACUCCUACGGGAGGCAGCAGUGGGGAAUAUUGCACAAUGGGCGCAAGCCUGAUGCAGCCAUGCCGCGUGUAUGAAGAAGGCCUUCGGGUUGUAAAGUACUUUCAGCGGGGAGGAAGGCGAUAAGGUUAAUAACCUUGUCGAUUGACGUUACCCGCAGAAGAAGCACCGGCUAACUCCGUGCCAGCAGCCGCGGUAAUACGGAGGGUGCAAGCGUUAAUCGGAAUUACUGGGCGUAAAGCGCACGCAGGCGGUCUGUCAAGUCGGAUGUGAAAUCCCCGGGCUCAACCUGGGAACUGCAUUCGAAACUGGCAGGCUAGAGUCUUGUAGAGGGGGGUAGAAUUCCAGGUGUAGCGGUGAAAUGCGUAGAGAUCUGGAGGAAUACCGGUGGCGAAGGCGGCCCCCUGGACAAAGACUGACGCUCAGGUGCGAAAGCGUGGGGAGCAAACAGGAUUAGAUACCCUGGUAGUCCACGCCGUAAACGAUGUCGAUUUGGAGGUUGUGCCCUUGAGGCGUGGCUUCCGGAGCUAACGCGUUAAAUCGUCCGCCUGGGUUGUUUGAAAGCGUUCAGACUCACGCUUUCUGCUGGUUUAUUGUUUGCAGUAGACACAUAUACCUCUUUUUUUACAUCCCAUAUUUACUGGGGGGUGUUCGGGGCGCAAUCUCGUUGGACCGCCGCCUUUAUAGUUAUUCUUGGAGGGAAAACGGCAGGUAAUGUUCACUAUCCUGGCGCAUCAGGCAAGGCUUUUG
rnacentral:rRNA from 1 species